GUACUCGCUUUGGCAGCACAUACACUAAAACUGGAACGAUACAGAGAGGAUUAGCAUGGCCCCUGUGCAAGGAUGACAUGCAAAUUCGUGAAGCGUUCCAUAUUUUU
rnacentral:snRNA from 1 species